GAUUGAACACUGGUGGCAGGCCUAACACAUGCAAGUCGAGCGGCAUCGAGUGAGCGCAGUUUACUGAGUUCAUGUCGGCGAGCGGCGGACGGGUGAGUAAAGUCUGGGAAUCUGGCCGAAGGAGGGGGAUAACUGCUGGAAACGGCAGCUAAUACCGCAUGAAGUCGCGAGACCAAAGUGGGGGACCUUCGGGCCUCACGCCUUCGGAUGAGCCCAGAUGAGAUUAGCUGGUAGGUAAGGUAAAGGCUUACCUAGGCGACGAUCUCUAGCGGGUCUGAGAGGAUAGCCCGCCACACUGGAACUGAGACACGGUCCAGACUCCUACGGGAGGCAGCAGUGGGGAAUAUUGCACAAUGGGCGAAAGCCUGAUGCAGCCAUGCCACGUGUGUGAAGAAGGCCUUCG
rnacentral:rRNA from 1 species